GAUGAACGCUGGCGGCGUGCCUAAUACAUGCAAGUCGAGCGAACAGACGAGGAGCUUGCUCCUCUGACGUUAGCGGCGGACGGGUGAGUAACACGUGGAUAACCUACCUAUAAGACUGGGAUAACUUCGGGAAACCGGAGCUAAUACCGGAUAAUAUAUUGAACCUCAUGGUUCAAUAGUGAAGGACGGUUUUGCUGUCACUUAUAGAUGGAUCCGCGCCGCAUUAGCUAGUUGGUAAGGUAACGGCUUACCAAGGCAACGAUGCGUAGCCGACCUGAGAGGGUGAUCGGCCACACUGGAACUGAGACACGGUCCAGACUCCUACGGGAGGCAGCAGUAGGGAAUCUUCCGCAAUGGGCGAAAGCCUGACGGAGCAACGCCGCGUGAGUGAUGAAGGUCUUCGGAUCGUAAAACUCUGUUAUUAGGGAAGAACAAAUGUGUAAGUAACUAUGCACGUCUUGACGGUACCUAAUCAGAAAGCCACGGCUAACUACGUG
rnacentral:rRNA from 1 species